rnacentral:rRNA from 1 species
UACGUAGGGGGCAAGCGUUGUCCGGAUUUAUUGGGCGUAAAGAGCGUGUAGGCGGCCAGGUAGGUCCGUUGUGAAAACUCGAGGCUUAACCUCGAGACGUCGAUGGAAACCAUCUGGCUAGAGUCCGGAAGAGGAGAGUGGAAUUCCUGGUGUAGCGGUGAAGUGCGCAGAUAUCAGGAGGAACACCGAUGGCGAAGGCAGGUCUCUGGGCCAUAACUGACGCUGAGAAGCGAAAGCAUGGGGAGCAAACAGG